rnacentral:rRNA from 1 species
GAAUUCGAUUAGAGUUUGAUCCUGGCUCAGAUUGAUCGCUGGCGGCAUGCCUUACACAUGCAAGUCGAACGGUAACAGGCCUUUCGGGGUGCUGACGAGUGGCGAACGGGUGAGUAAUGCAUCGGAACGUGCCCAGUGGUGGGGGAUAACCCCGAGAAAUCGGGGCUAAUACCGCAUGAGCCCGAGAGGGGAAAGCGGGGGACCUGAUGAGGGCCUCGCGCGACUGGAGCGGCCGAUGUCCGAUUAGCUGGUUGGUGGGGUAAAGGCCCACCAAGGCGACGAUCGGUAGCGGGUCUGAGAGGACGGCCCGCCACACUGGGACUGANACACGGCCCAGACUCCUACGGGAGGCAGCAGUGGGGAAUUUUGGACAAUGGGCGAAAGCCUGAUCCAGCCAUGCCGCGGGCGGGAAGAAGGCCGUCUGGUUGUAGACCGCUUUCGGCCGGGACGAGAUCGCUUGCCUGAACAGGUNGCGGUGGAUGUGCCGGGGCNUNGGAAGGGAGGCUGAGCAAAAUGCCGGGGUGAGCAGGCGGCGGGGCGCGGAGGGUAAACGUAGGUGGCAAGCGGUGUCGGGAUUUGGGGGGGGUAAAGGGGGGUUAGGGUGGGAUGUUGAGACGGAGGGGAAAUCGGGGGGAGGUGUGUGGGCCGGGGGGGGGGAGAUGUGGGACUGGGGGGCAGAAGAUGAGGAGGGAUGUGGUAGUGUUGGGGAGGAGGGGGGAAUGGCGGUGGGGGAGGCCGCGAGGGGGAGGGGUGUAUUCGCGGGGGGACGCUGAAGUUAGGGGGGGAAUG